AUACCUUUCUCGGCCUUUUGGCUAAGAUCAAGUGUAGUAUCUGUUUCCCUAAAAAAAAGAAAGAAUGUCCAUCAACCUCU
rfam:Triticum urartu cultivar G1812 contig447604, whole genome shotgun sequence.